rnacentral:tRNA from 1 species
ACCGGCAUGGCUCAGUGGUUGAGCAUUGACCUAUGAGGUCACAGGUUGUGGGCUCGAUCCCCAGUGCGGGGC